rnacentral:rRNA from 1 species
GUGCCAGCAGCCGCGGUAAUACGGAGGGUGCAAGCGUUAAUCGGAAUUACUGGGCGUAAAGCGCAUGCAGGUGGUUUGUUAAGUCAGAUGUGAAAGCCCUGGGCUCAACCUAGGAAUCGCAUUUGAAACUGACAAGCUAGAGUACUGUAGAGGGGGGUAGAAUUUCAGGUGUAGCGGUGAAAUGCGUAGAGAUCUGAAGGAAUACCGGUGGCGAAGGCGGCCCCCUGGACAGAUACUGACACUCAGAUGCGAAAGCGUGGGGAGCAAACAGGAUUAGAUACCC